UAUUCAUCAUGAUUUCCAUCA
rnacentral:piRNA from 1 species